rnacentral:rRNA from 1 species
CAGAGGUCUCAAGCGUUGUUCGGAUUUAUUGGGCGUAAAGGGUGCGCAGGCUGUAUGGUAAGUUUGGUGUGAAAUCCUGGGGCUUAACCCCAGAAUUGCACUGAAUACUGCCGUGCUAGAGGACUGGAGAGGAGAUUGGAAUUCACGGUGUAGCAGUGAAAUGCGUAGAUAUCGUGAGGAAGACCAGUGGCGAAGGCGAAUCUCUGGACAGUUCCUGACGCUCAUGCACGAAGGCCAGGGGAGCAAACGGGAUUAGAUACCCCGGUAGUCCUGGCAGUAAACGGUGCACGUUUGGUGUGGGGGGUUUCGACCCUUCCGCGCCGGAGCUAACGCGUUAAACGUGCUGCCUGGGGAGUACGGUCGCAAGAUUA